AGGGAGAUUUUCACCCCAAUGUUUUUCUUUUUGGCUCAAAAACCACAUUCAUAGAGUCAGUAAGCUCUAAUGCAAACCAAUUUGCCCGCUGAUUUAACGCUUAAAUCUUCCUGGGCAUCCUCUCAGUUUGUAUCAGUAUCCAAUUUCCGUGAACUGAUAGGCAGCUUCUAUGUUAUGUACAACUCAUGUGUUCAAUUUCCAGAGUUGUUUUGUACCUAUUGCUAUUUGCUUGAUGAAAUUUCAUCAUAUUUGUGUUCCAGUGUUGUUUCUUAACUAAUCUAACAUAUUAGAAUUUUGCCUUGCCUAAUUGGCUUUUUUGCAGACAAAAAAG
rnacentral:misc_RNA from 1 species